GGUACGACCUCGGCAACAGAUAUCUCGGCUCUUGCAUCGACGAAGAAUGUAGCGAAAUGCGAUACAUGGUGCGAAUUGCAGAAUCCUGCGAACAUCGAUCUUCGAACGCAAUUGCGCUGAGCCAUUCGGCCAAGGGCACGCUUGCUUGGGCGCCAACC
rnacentral:rRNA from 1 species